UCCCGAUGAUGAGUUACCAUGCUAAUACUGAAACACCAGGUAGGGCAGAAUUGCCCUGGUUUGGGUGCCAGUGAAUUUAACAAAAGUUCUCACAUGGAGACUUGAGGGAC
rnacentral:snoRNA from 1 species